AAUGGGCGGGAGCCUGAUCCAGCCAUGCCGCGUGCAGGAAGACUGCCUAUGGGUUGUAAACUGCUUUUAUACAGGAAGAAAAGCCUUACGUGUGAGGUGAUGACGGUACUGUAAGAAUAAGGACCGGCUAACUCCGUGCCAGCAGCCGCGGUAAUACGGAGGGUCCGAGCGUUAUCCGGAAUUAUUGGGUUUAAAGGGUCCGUAGGCGGAUGAUUAAGUCAGGGGUGAAAGUUUGCAGCUCAACUGUAAAAUUGCCUUUGAUACUGGUUAUCUUGAGUUGUAUUGAAGUAGGCGGAAUAUGAAGUGUAGCGGUGAAAUGCAUAGAUAUUACAUAGAACACCAAUUGCGAAGGCAGCUUACUAAGUACUAACUGACGCUGAUGGACGAAAGCGUGGGUAGCGAACAGGAUU
rnacentral:rRNA from 1 species